rnacentral:rRNA from 1 species
AUCUAGGGGAGCCGUAGGGAAACCGAGUCUUAACUGGGCGUCAUAGUUGCUAGGAUUAGACCCGAAACCGAGUGAUCUAGCCAUGGGCAGGUUGAAGAUUGAGUAACAUCAAUUGGAGGACCGAACCGACUAAUGUUGAAAAAUUAGCGGAUGACUUGUGGCUAGGGGUGAAAGGCCAAUCAAACUCGGAGAUAGCUGGUUCUCCCCGAAAGCUAUUUAGGUAGCGCCUCGGACGAAUACUACUGGGGGUAGAGCACUGUUAAGGCUAGGGGGUCAUCCCGACUUACCAACCCUUUGCAAACUCCGAAUACCAGUAAGUACUAUCCGGGAGACACACGGCGGGUGCUAACGUCCGUCGUGAAGAGGGAAACAACCCAGACCGCCAGCUAAGGUCCCAAAGUUAUAGCUAAGUGGGAAACGAUGUGGGAAGGCUCAGACAGCCAGGAUGUUGGCUUAGAAGCAGCCAUCAUUUAAAGAAAGCGUAAUAGCUCACUGGUCGAGUCGGCCUGCGCGGAAGAUUUAACGGGGCUAAGCUAUACACCGAAGCUGCGGCAAUGUGCUUUGCACAUUGGGUAGGGGAGCGUUCUGUAAGCCGUUGAAGGUGCAUUGUAAAGUGUGCUGGAGGUAUCAGAAGUGCGAAUGCUGACAUGAGUAACGACAAAGGGAGUGAAAAACUCCCUCGCCGGAAGACCAAGGGUUCCUGUCCAACGUUAAUCGGGGCAGGGUGAGUCGACCCCUAAGGCGAGGCCGAAAGGCGUAGUCGAUGGGAAACGGGUUAAUAUUCCCGUACUUCUUACUAUUGCGAUGGGGGGACGGAGAAGGCUAGGUGAGCCUGGCGACGGUUGUCCAGGUCCAAGUACGUAGGUGGAUGAAUUAGGCAAAUCCGGUUCAUCAUUAACACUGAGAUACGAUGUCGAGCUACUACGGUAGCGAAGUCAUUGAUGCCAUGCUUCCGGGAAAAGCCUCUAAGCUUCAGAUAGUAAGAAAUCGUACCCCAAACCGACACAGGUGGUCGGGUAGAGAAUACCAAGGCGCUUGAGAGAACUCGGGUGAAGGAACUAGGCAAAAUGGUACCGUAACUUCGGGAGAAGGUACGCUCUUAACGGUGAAGUCCCUCGCGGAUGGAGCUGUCGAGAGUCGCAGAUACCAGGUGGCUGCAACUGUUUAUUAAAAACACAGCACUGUGCAAAAUCGAAAGAUGACGUAUACGGUGUGACGCCUGCCCGGUGCC